rnacentral:lncRNA from 1 species
AAACUAGGUCAAAAAUAAAUCCAAAAUAAAUUGAAAAUGGGAAAUAAAAUUCCAAUAAAAGGUCAGGUUGACCAUGAGACAUUGGUCAACCCUCAUCCCAAAAAUCAUAAAUUAAAAAUAAUUCUAAGUCAUGAAAAUAAAAUAAAUGAAAAAAUGUGUGUUAAAAUGGACUAUUUAAAAUAAAUAAUUAAAAUAAAAUAUUAACAUUAAAUAAAAUAUAAAAAUAAAAAUUAAAUAAAUUAAAUAAAACAUUAAGGAAAGUAAAAAGUAAUUUUUGAUGUUUUUAUGAACAAAUAGAAUAUUUUUUAUUUAAUUAAACAAAACAGAAAAUAAGAAUUAAAAAAAUGAAAAUAAAAUGAAUGGAAAUAAAAUAAAGUGAAAUGGGCCAGAUGGGGGUGGUGCGAACA